AACGAACGCUGGCGGCAUGCCUAAUACAUGCAAGUCGAACGAGAUCUUCGGAUCUAGUGGCGCACGGGUGCGUAACGCGUGGGAAUCUGCCCUUGGGUUCGGAAUAACAUCGGGAAACUGAUGCUAAUACCGGAUGAUGACGUAAGUCCAAAGAUUUAUCGCCCAGGGAUGAGCCCGCGUGAGAUUAGCUUGUUGGUGGGGUAAAGGCCUACCAAGGCGACGAUCUCUAGCUGGUCUGAGAGGAUGAUCAGCCACACUGGGACUGAGACACGGCCCAGACUCCUACGGGAGGCAGCAGUAGGGAAUAUUGGACAAUGGGGGCAACCCUGAUCCAGCAAUGCCGCGUGAGUGAUGAAGGCCUUAGGGUUGUAAAGCUCUUUUACCCGAGAUGAUAAUGACAGUAUCGGGAGAAUAAGCCCCGGCUAACUCCGUGCCAGCCGCCGCAGUAAUAC
rnacentral:rRNA from 1 species